rnacentral:tRNA from 1 species
GCAUCUGUGGCCGAGUUGGUUAUGGCGCUAGACUCAAGCGAAAGCUUACUGUCGGUAAUGACAGAGAUUUCUAGUGUGGGUAACCGCGCGUGGGUUCGAAUCCCACCGGAUGCA